rnacentral:lncRNA from 1 species
UCGAAGUGUUUCUGUAGCUCAAAAAAUUGCACAUGGUUCUAACAGUGUCAUGUGUUACAUUUCAUAUGCAUAAAUGUAAACGCUAGAAGUCAAACUCUUAAAAAAUAACUUUUACAUUUUAGAGGGAAAAGAAGUAUUAAAAACAUAUGAGUUGUACUUUUAAAGAAGACUCAAAAUGAAGUUUUGUAAUUUAGAGCAGGCAGGCAAUGAUCUUUCAUGCAUGAAAUCUGGAGUAUCAAAAUAUCUCCUUACAUCUCAGACUGGCCUAAUUUCCCAUCAUAUGUUUGCAGUUGUAACUCUAUAAACAUGGAUGGCACUCUGAUGCGUAAGGCCAUGCAGGCAGAACCAGAGAAUUAUAUGGGUCAAAUGGCUACCGGACAGUACUGGACCUGGGGGACACGCUCGAGAGAGUACCAGAUGCAUUCUCCAGCAGGUAGUGUUUCUCAGAGGGCCUGGACUCCUCACUACACACCCCAACACAACCCCACACACCACCUGCAGCAGCAGCAGCCCACUGCACAGGUCCGCCCGCACCCUCCGCCGGACUACCAGCACAACGUCUACAUCCCCGGCACACCGUCCGGCUUCUGCACCCUGCGGCCCAGCUACCGCAGUGAGCUCGACGUUCACAACUCAUUCUCCACCUUCGGCAAGAAACGUAGGUUCAUCUCUCCCAGCAGCUACGACCCGCAUGACGACACGGGGGCAGAGGUCAUCAACAAUGACUUAUAUAAUGAAUAAAAUAAGACAAAAGGACCUAUGUUGUGAUGAUGAACAAAAAGAGUGACUUAUUACCAAAGCAUAGAACUCAUUAUGUAGUCUCAGCCUCAGAUGGAGCGACACCGUCCAUUCAUUGACCAUCUGAUGCAUAUUGCACAUUCAAUGCAACUUCCGUUGAUUUGGGGAAGAAAAUUGUUUUAAAAUAAUACAAGGUUAAUAUUGUUUUUAAUGGUUUUGCCAUAGUUUGCCUGGAUCGUGCUUGAAAUCUUUGAAAGUUAUUCAGGAGCGGAACUGUUUAUCCCACUUUGUUUUCUGUCUGUGAACUUGUUUAGCAGGAUAUAAACUCUUAUCACAAAGUCUAAAAAUAAACCUCCCAAAACCUCCUAAAAAUGAUGGAGAAACUAUUGAUUUAAAGAUGUUACAUUUAUAUUUAAAGAUUUCUCUGUGUAAUUAUGGGUUUUUCAUAGUG